UAGAAAGUUUAUAUUUGCAGAGUUGAGGU
rnacentral:piRNA from 1 species